UCCUCGUUAGUAUAGUGGACAGUAUCUCUGCUUGUCACGCAGAAGACCAGGGUUCGAUUCCCUGACCGGGAG
rnacentral:tRNA from 1 species